GACGAACGCUGGCGGCGUGCUUAACACAUGCAAGUCGAACGGAAAGGCCCUGCUUUUGUGGGGUGCUCGAGUGGCGAACGGGUGAGUAACACGUGAGUAACCUGCCCUUGACUUUGGGAUAACUUCAGGAAACUGGGGCUAAUACCGGAUAGGAGCUCCUGCUGCAUGGUGGGGGUUGGAAAGUUUCGGCGGUUGGGGAUGGACUCGCGGCUUAUCAGCUUAUUGGUGGGGUAGUGGCUUACCAAGGCUUUGACGGGUAGCCGGCCUGGGGGGGUGACCGGCCAAAUGGGAAUGGGGAUAGGACCCGGAUCCUAACGGAGGGAAUCGUGGGGAAUAUUGCACAAUGGGCGGAAGCCUGAUGCAGCAACGCCGCGUGCGGGAUGACGGCCUUCGGGUUGUAAACCGCUUUCGCCUGUGACGAAGCGUGAGUGACGGUAAUGGGUAAAGAAGCACCGGCUAACUACGUG
rnacentral:rRNA from 1 species